AGACUUUGAUCCUGGCUCAGAAUGAACGUUGGCGGCGUGGAUUAGGCAUGCAAGUCGAGCGAGGACAGUUGGUAGCAAUACGAACUGAGCCGAGCGGCGUAAGGGGCAGUAAUACCUGGGAACGUACCUUUGGGUCGGGGAUAGCUGCUGGAAACGGCGAGUAAUACCCGAUGAUACCGGGAGGUCAAAGAUUUAUCGCCCAAAGAGCGGCCCAGGCGAUAUUAGCUAGUUGGUGGGGUAACGGCCUACCAAGGCGAAGAUGUCUAGCGGGUGUGAGAGCACGACCCGCGCCACUGGCACUGAGACACUGGCCAGACACCUACGGGUGGCUGCAGUCGAGAAUCUUCGGCAAUGGGCGCAAGCCUGACCGAGCGACGCCGCGUGCGGGAUGAAGGCCUUCGGGUUGUAAACCGCUUUGGUCCGAGAGAAAGGGCAACUUGAUCGAUCGUGAGAUAACAAGGACGGCUAGUU
rnacentral:rRNA from 1 species